rnacentral:rRNA from 1 species
GAUGAACGCUGGCGGCGUGCCUAAUACAUGCAAGUCGAGCGAACGGACGAGAAGCUUGCUUCUCUGAUGUUAGCGGCGGACGGGUGAGUAACACGUGGAUAACCUACCUAUAAGACUGGGAUAACUUCGGGAAACCGGAGCUAAUACCGGAUAAUAUUUUGAACCGCAUGGUUCAAAAGUGAAAGACGGUCUUGCUGUCACUUAUAGAUGGAUCCGCGCUGCAUUAGGUAGUUGGUAAGGUAACGGCUUACCAAGGCAACGAUGCAUAGCCGACCUGAGAGGGUGAUCGGCCACACUGGAACUGAGACACGGUCCAGACUCCUACGGGAGGCAGCAGUAGGGAAUCUUCCGCAAUGGGCGAAAGCCUGACGGAGCAACGCCGCGUGAGUGAUGAAGGUCUUCGGAUCGUAAAACUCUGUUAUUAGGGAAGAACAUAUGUGUAAGUAACUGUGCACAUCUUGACGGUACCUAAUCAGAAAGCCACGGCUAACUACGUG